UACGGAGGGGUCGAACGUUAAGCGGAAUUACUCGGCGUAAAGCGCGCGUAGGGGGUUCGGCAAGUGGGAUGUGAAGGCCCCGGGCUUAACCUGGGAAUUGGGUUCCAGACUUGCGGGCUAGAGUAUGGUAGAGGGAGGUAGAAUUUCCUGUGUAGCGGUGAAAUGCGUAGAUAUAGGAAGGAAUACCGGUGGCGCAGGCGGCCUCCUGGACCAAUACUGACGCUGAGGUGCGAAAGCGUGGGGAGCAAACAGG
rnacentral:rRNA from 1 species